rnacentral:rRNA from 1 species
CCAGACUCCUACGGGAGGCAGCAGUGAGGAAUAUUGGUCAAUGGGCGAGAGCCUGAACCAGCCAAGUCGCGUGAAGGAUGACGGCCCUACGGGUUGUAAACUUCUUUUGUCAGGGAGCAAUUGGGUCCACGCGUGGGCUUAGCGAGAGUACCCGGAGAAAAAGCAUCGGCUAACUCCGUGCCAGCAGCCGCGGUAAUACGGAGGAUGCGAGCGUUAUCCGGAUUUAUUGGGUUUAAAGGGUGCGUAGGCGGACGCUUAAGUCAGCGGUAAAAUUGCGGGGCUCAACCUCGUCGAGCCGUUGAAACUGGGUGCCUUGAGUGGGCGAGAAGUACGCGGAAUGCGUGGUGUGGCGGUGAAAUGCAUAGAUAUCACGCAGAACUCCGAUUGCGAAGGCAGCAUACCGGCGCCCUACUGACGCUGAGGCACGAAAGCGUGGGUAUCGAACAGGAUUAGAUACCCUUGUAAU